UGGGGAAUAUUGGACAAUGGGCGAAAGCCUGAUCCAGCCAUGCCGCGUGUGUGAAGAAGGUCUUCGGAUUGUAAAGCACUUUAAGUUGGGAGGAAGGGCAGUAAGCGAAUACCUUGCUGUUUUGACGUUACCGACAGAAUAAGCACCGGCUAACUCUGUGCCAGCAGCCGCGGUAAUACAGAGGGUGCAAGCGUUAAUCGGAAUUACUGGGCGUAAAGCGCGCGUAGGUGGUUCGUUAAGUUGAAUGUGAAAGCCCCGGGCUCAACCUGGGAACUGCAUCCAAAACUCGCGAGCUAGAGUAGGGCAGAGGGUGGUGGAAUUUCCUGUGUAGCGGUGAUAUGCGUAGAUAUAGGAAGAAACACCAGUGGCGAAGGCGACCACCUGGGCUCAUACUGACACUGAGGUGCGAAAGCGUGGGGAGCAAACAGG
rnacentral:rRNA from 1 species